rnacentral:misc_RNA from 1 species
CCUAAAGUUACAACAAAAAACAAUUUGGAGCAGGAUGCUGGUCGCAGCCAAAUCCCAAUUAAACCCCAGGCAACAGCCUCCUCCCCGGAGCUAAGUUUUUAGAAGACUUUCCGGUCGUGCUUCCCCAACUGUAUCAUCUUCCCUUCAUAGUUUCAGUAGAGAUGGUGAGCCAAAGACAGAGAUUAGCCCGCAAGCGAUACAGAGAAGCGCACCCGGAGCUAUUCCCUAAACCAGAGCCAACACCACCAAAAGACCCCGACAAGAAGAAGAAAAAAAAUAAGAGCAAGUUCAAGCGAGAAAGGUCAGAGUACAAAGAACCCAGAGAUCCAAAUGAGCCCAACGAAAAGAGGUUUAAAAAACACCCAUUUAGGGUCCCUGGCAUGAAGCCGGGUGAAAGUUGUUUUAUUUGCAAGGCCAAGGAUCAUAUUGCCAAGCUUUGCCCUCAAAAAGCAGAAUGGGAAAAGAACAAGAUAUGCUUGCUUUGUCGGCAGCGAGGGCAUAGCCUCAAGCGUUGCCCUAACAAGAAGGACGAGACUGUUGAUAAGAAAUUGUGCUAUAAUUGCGGGGAAUCUGGGCAUUCGCUAUCUAAAUGUCCCCAGCCUCUUCAAGAUGGGGGAACAAAAUUUGCCAAUUGCUUUAUCUGUAAUGAACAUGGACAUUUGAGCAAGGACUGCCCUCAAAAUACUCGUGGGAUAUACCCAAAGGGGGGUUGCUGUAAAAUAUGUGGUGGUGUGACACAUUUAGCAAAACAUUGUCCUGACAAGGGUAAGAGAGACUCUCUUACCUCUGUUAAAGAAGCAAUCGAAAAAGGUGAAAGGCCAACUCCCAAGGUGACCAAGUUUGUAAGUGGGGAUGAGUUAGAUGAUGAUUUUGUGACAGAAAACACGAAUGGCAUCCAGCAAGAAAAGCCAGCGGAUUCAAAAGAUAGUCAUGCAGAAUCAAAGAAGAAGCAAGGGCACAGAGUGGUGAACUUCACAUGAUAGAAACUGCCUUGCGAUGAAUACCAUGAACUUUCUUUGAUCCGAGCAAUGACUGGAUAUACAGGAG